AUUGAACGCUGGCGGCAGGCCUAACACAUGCAAGUCGAGCGGAGCGGCGGACGGGCGAGUAAUGCCUAGGUAUCUGCCUGGCAGUGGGGGAUAACGUCCGGAAACGGGCGCUAACACCGCAUACUAUCAGACGAGCCUAGGUAGGUUUAGCUAGUUGGUGGGGUAACGGCCUACCAAGGCGACGAUCCGUAACUGGUCUGAGAGGAAGAUCAGCCACACUGGAACUGAGACACGGUCCAGACUCCUACGGGAGGCAGCAGUGGGGAAUAUUGGACAAUGGGCGAAAGCCUGAUGCAGCCAUGCCGCGUGUGUGAAGAAGGCCUUCGGAUUGUAAAGCACUUUAAGUUGGGAGGCGUUACCAGCAGAAUAAGCACCGGCUAACUUCGUGCCAGCCGCCGCGGUAAUUC
rnacentral:rRNA from 1 species